CAUGCAGUCGAGCGCGGGAAGCAAGCUGAUCCUCUUCGGAGGUGACGCUUGUGGAACGAGCGGCGGACGGGUGAGUAACACGUGGGCAACCUGCCUGUAAGACUGGGAUAACCCCGGGAAACCGGGGCUAAUACCGGAUAAUACUUUUCAUCACCUGAUGGAAAGUUGAAAGGUGGCUUUUAGCUACCACUUACAGAUGGGCCCGCGGCGCAUUAGCUAGUUGGUGAGGUAACGGCUCACCAAGGCAACGAUGCGUAGCCGACCUGAGAGGGUGAUCGGCCACACUGGGACUGAGACACGGCCCAGACUCCUACGGGAGGCAGCAGUAGGGAAUCUUCCGCAAUGGACGAAAGUCUGACGGAGCAACGCCGCGUGAGUGAUGAAGGUUUUCGGAUCGUAAAGCUCUGUUGUUAGGGAAGAACAAGUGCCGUUCGAAUAGGGCGGCACCUUGACGGUACCUAACCAGAAAGCCCCGGCUAACUACGUGCCAGCAGCCGCGGUAAUACGUAGGGGGCAAGCGUUGUCCGGAAUUAUUGGGCGUAAAGCGCGCGCAGGCGGUCCUUUAAGUCUGAUGUGAAAGCCCACGGCUCAACCGUGGAGGGUCAUUGGAAACUGGAGGACUUGAGUACAGAAGAGGAGAGUGGAAUUCCACGUGUAGCGGUGAAAUGCGUAGAGAUGUGGAGGAACACCAGUGGCGAAGGCGACUCUCUGGUCUGUAACUGACGCUGAGGCGCGAAAGCGUGGGGAGCGAACAGGAUUAGAUACCCUGGUAGUCCACGCCGUAA
rnacentral:rRNA from 1 species